GUCUGUUAGCAAAAAGAGAAGAGGGGAGGCGGCUAAGGGUAAAACCCUAGCGCCGCCUCACUGUUCCUCCACCACCCGCCUUUCAGUCCUGUCCCAUCGUAUAGUAGGCAUGUAGCGUGAGGAGAGAAGGCGAAGCCAUUAAUGCUCCGUCCUUCUCUCCCCAAAAAUCGGCCAAAUAGACCCUUGAAGUUUGGCAUUGGAGCACAAAAGCCUCCAAGUCCAUCACUUGACCCCGGUUGCACUCACAAAAGACUAGCAAGUUUGGACGAAUAAGCGUAGUUAAUUGGACGUGGGACAGGUACACCCAGAUGAGUAGAAGAUAUUACUAGAAGAUGUUCCAGCAGGAUUGGCGAGCUCCCCUUCCUUCCGGAGCGUUGCCGAGUCGGAGUUUGUAUGUUAUGAUGUCUGGAUUGAUGUUAGAGACUUUGCAGACAGAGUUGUGGAUAUAGAAUGUCAGUUUUGUAAGCGGCUCCAUUAGCUGAUAUAUCAUUCUGUGUUAUGUGAUAAAUUCUAUAUGAUUACAGAUUUUGUUUGAUUUGAGAACAAUGA